GAUUUUAUAUAUUUUGUUGAAAGGAUUCCUCCGAUAGUGAUUUUGAUGUAAUAGACUUAACAUCAGAUGAUGAUAAUAUAAAUUCAUAUUAUUCAAUUGAAAAUGACAUAGAGAUAGAUGAAACCAGCGGUUUAGAGGAUUCCUCCGAUAGUGAUUUUGAAGUAAUAGACUUAACAUCAGAUGAUGAUACAAAUUCGUGUUAUUUGAUUGAAAACGAUGAUGAAUAAUUCAGAAUAACCCGCUUAAAAAUGCAAAGCUAAUAAUCGAUUAUGAUUGAUGGGAUUAUGUAUCGAAGUCAUUUACAAAAUCGAAUGAAUCUUUCUACAGAAAAUGCAUAAAUAAUUAAUCAAAAUUAGCUUAGUUUUUAAA